AGUGACAGUGCCAGCAGAAUUUCCUGGGACAAGUUUGAGCUGCAUGUCAAUUUUACCAAACAGAUAUUCAUUCUUGGAUUGAAAACCAGAGCCUGAGAUUUUGUCAAGUGAGAGAGUAAGGAGGUCGCCAUUGUUAAGUAUUUUUGCUCUGCCAUCACCCCAUGUAAUGUCGAAUUCUUGAUCAAACUUGGCCCCAAUUGCAAUGCCAAAAGCACUAAUCAUAAAACACAUUACAAGUACUAAUUUAGAAGAAGAAGAAGCCAUGUUUAACUGUUAAGAUUUCAAAGUUUG
rnacentral:misc_RNA from 1 species